AUGCCAGUGAUGCAUUGCAGGAGCAGAAAGGAGCAGCGAGCAGCGGCGGCGGCUGACCUCGAGCUCUCGGUUGGAGUGGAGGGAGGCGGCCGGCGAGGGAUAUGCGGCCAGCGGGGAAGGAUUCGGAGCUGCGGCGGAGCAGGCAACCGGUGGGGAAAGGCGGCCGCCGGUGAGGGAGCUCCGGACCGCGGCGAGGGAGCUUUGGAUCGCGGCGGGGAAGGGCGACCAGAGGGGAUCGGGCUCUCGAUUGGAGCGGCGCAGGCAACUGGCGGGGAAGGGCGCCGGAGAUGUGGACGACGGAGGAGCCUGGCGGAGGGGAGGAGCGAUGGAGGAAGACGACGGAGUCCUGGCGGAGGGAAGGAGCGAAGGAGGAAGACGACAGCCCGUGCGAUUUCAAAUCGGUGGGUGGGGGAGGGGCAGUUUGGUAAUUUCACUCAUUUUCACUUGGUCGGAAAACCUCCUCCAACGACAAUUAUUUCGGAACGGAGGGAGUAUGUUAUUGAUGUGUACUUUACUAGUGUUCGUAGUAACCCUUAG
rnacentral:rRNA from 1 species